UACGAAGGGAGCUAGCGUUGUUCGGAAUCACUGGGCGUAAAGCGCACGUAGGCGGAUGUGUCAGUCAGGGGUGAAAUCCCGGAGCUCAACUUCGGAACUGCCUUUGAUACAGCACGUCUUGAGUCCGAUAGAGGUGGGUGGAAUUCCUAGUGUAGAGGUGAAAUUCGUAGAUAUCAGGAGGAACACCGGCGGUGUAGACGGCUUACUGGACCAUGACUGACGCUGAGGCACGAAAGCGUGGGGAGCAAACAGG
rnacentral:rRNA from 1 species